rnacentral:rRNA from 1 species
UACGUAGGUGGCAAGCGUUAUCCGGAUUUACUGGGUGUAAAGGGCGUGUAGGCGGUUUUGUAAGUCAGAUGUGAAAUCUCCGGGCUUAACUCGGAAACUGCAUCUGAAACUAUAAAACUUGAGUACUGGAGAGGAUAGUGGAAUUCCUAGUGUAGCGGUAAAAUGCGUAGAUAUUAGGAGGAACACCAGUGGCGAAGGCGACUAUCUGGACAGUAACUGACGCUGAGGCGCGAAAGCGUGGGGAGCAAACAGGAUUAGAUACCCGCGUAGUCCCUGA